rnacentral:rRNA from 1 species
UGGCUCAGAACGAACGCUGGCGGCAUGCUUUACACAUGCAAGUCGAACGGCAGCACGGACUUCGGUCUGGUGGCGAGUGGCGAACGGGUGAGUAAUAUAUCGGAACGUGCCCAGUCGUGGGGGAUAACGUAGUGAAAAUUACGCUAAUACCGCAUACGAUCUAUGGAUGAAAGCGGGGGAUCGCAAGACCUCGCGCGAUUGGAGCGGCCGAUAUCAGAUUAGGUAGUUGUGAUUAAAGGCUCACGGGAAAACGAUCUGUAGCUGGUCUGAGAGGACGACCAGCC